CUGCAGCUAAUUAAGCCAACCAGAUUUCUUUCACAGGGACCUGUGUGCAAUGGCUGCAAACACCAACCUCCUUGGGAGUGUAGGCAGUCUGUUGCUUGUUGGAUUGCUCCAAGAGAAACAGAG
ensembl:snoRNA SNORA70 Small nucleolar RNA SNORA70